UACGUAGGGUGCGAGCGUUGUCCGGAUUUACUGGGCGUAAAGAGCGCGCAGGCGGUCGUUCAAGUCGCGUGUGAAAGCCCCCGGCUCAACUGGGGAGGGUCACGCGAUACUGAUCGACUGGAAGGCAGGAGAGGGUAGUGGAAUUCCCGGUGUAGUGGUGAAAUGCGUAGAUAUCGGGAGGAACACCAGUGGCGAAGGCGACUACCUGGCCUGUUCUUGACGCUGAGGCGCGAAAGCUAGGGGAGCAAACGGG
rnacentral:rRNA from 1 species